AUUUGCAUCGAUCCUUUAUAAAGCCUUAACAAAGAGAAGACGCCAUACAGACCAACAUUGACGUCAUCCCAUCACGCAGCGUCCCGCGUCUGUUGUUGCAAGCCGGUUUGAUUGUGUGUGUUAUUUGAAUGAUGCUAAAAUGGGGAUGACGAAGGGACCGUUGGCAUUGACCUCAAGGACACAAACACGUGAAAUAGAGGCAAUUUACCUGAGGCAACCAGGUGACAUAUUUGAUCAUUUACGAUUAAAAUUGCCCAGAUUGGGCUGACGGACUGCUGGCAGGUGACAACAGAGUUGCCAACGAGGACAUCAGAUCGUUGGACAUCACGUGACUUUCGCCCUUGAAGUGGAAAACUCGACGGCCAGAGGGAUAUCGUCACGUCAUUAUCCAAGAAAUAUCCCAUUACCUCGUUCAUAUCCUUCCAUUCUAAAUCUUCGACGACCAUUUUUGAGUCUUUCAACAAAGUACGUGGUGGAUGUCCUUGGUUCAAAAGGACGUCCUUAUUUUUGGCCCUGCGAAUGACCAAUCUAGUCUUUAACUGCACCAACGACCAGUAAG